rnacentral:rRNA from 1 species
ACGGCUCAGUAACACGUGGCUAACCUGCCCUUGGGACAAGGACAACUCCGGGAAACUGGGGCUAAUCCCUGAUAAGUGAGAACUCCUGGAAUGGAUUCUCGCUCAAAGGACGUUUAGACCAUGCUUCUAGGCGUCGCCCAAGGAGGGGGCCGCGACCGAUCAGGUUGUUGGUGAGGUAACGGCUCACCAAGCCUUUAACCGGUACGGGCCGUGAGAGCGGAAGCCCGGAGAUGGGCACUGAGACAAGGGCCCAGGCCCUACGGGGCGCAGCAGUCGCGAAAACUCCGCAAUACACGAAAGUGUGACGGGGCCAUCCCGAGUGCCAUCCGCUGAGGAUGGCUUUUCCCCAGUGUAUAAAGCUGGGGGAAUAAGGAGAGGGCAAGCCUGGUGUCAGCCGCCGCGGUAAUACCAGCUCUCCGAGUGGUGGGGAUGUUUAUUGGGCCUAAAGCAUUCGUAGCCUGCUUGGCAAGUCCUCCGUUAAAUCCACCGAUUCAAUCGUUGGGCUGCGGGGGUUACUGUCCAGCUAGGGGGCGGGAGAGGCCGACGGUAUCCCCGGGGUAGGGGUGAAAUCCUAUAAUCCCGGGAGGACCACCAGUGGCGAAGGCUGUCGGCUAGAACGCGCUCGACGGUGAGGGAUGAAAGCUGGGGGAGCGAACCGGAUUAGAUACCCGGGUAGUCCCAGCUGUAAACGAUGCAGGCUAGGUGUUGGCGCGGCUACGUGCCGCUCCAGUGCCGCAGGGAAGCCGUUAAGCCUGCCGCCUGGGAAGUACGGCCACAAGGCUGAAACUUAAAGGAAUUGGCGGGGGAGCACCACAAGGUGUGAAGCUUGCGGUUUAAUUGGAUUCAACGCCGGG